UGUGAUUCUGUGGAGGAGGCGGGGCUGAGCUGAGCUGGAGUUCGUGGUCGCAUGUCACCCCAGUACACCCCCUUUCUAGAUGAUGCCACGAUAGAUGUGUAUAUCAGUGGUGAAGCUAGUAGGGAAGAGGAGGUCUGUAGAAGCACAAGUAGUGCAAAACAACUGUCAUCACCUAUGUACACAUAAACGUCCUCAUCUGUUAAACUGUGAAGAUAUCAGCACAAUGUCAUUUCUUGGAUACAUGGAAGAGAAAAAAUGAGGAAGAGGUUCUACGUUUGCUGUCUAAAGUGAAGACAAAUAAGUCACAGUGGCCUGAUGGGAUACACCCAAAAUUAUUAAAAGAGCUUAUUGGUGAGCUAGCAAAACUGUUAUUUAACCAGUCACUGGUAACAGGAGUCAUCCCGGAAGAUUGGAAAUUAGCAAAUAUUGUGCCCAUUUACAAGAAAGGUAGUUGGGAGGAAUAAAGCAACUAUAGGACAGCAGGGGCGGAUCCAGAGUCGAGUCUCGGGAGGGGCACUAUUAGAGUAUUUUGUGUUGGCGGACAGAAAAAAAG